UGUUUUCGCAUUUGCAAACUUGGCUUGGCUAAAAAACACUCUCGACUGGUUAAUGACAAAAGCAGUUGGACAGGAAAGCACGAGAACAUGUAAAUAUUAUUCUAGAAAUAAUUUAACACUUCGGAAAACAUAA
rnacentral:lncRNA from 1 species